UGCGAUAACAUUUUAGAUGGGGGACUGGACCCCACGACACAGGGAAUGCUAGUGUGGGGACUAGAGACAUACUGUUCUUUUUGUGACUAAAUAUAACUGAUAAAA